GAUGAAGAACGUAGCAAAAUGCGAUAAGUAAUGUGAAUUGCAGAAUUCAGUGAAUCAUCGAAUCUUUGAACGCACAUUGCGCCCGCCAGUAUUCUGGCGGGCAUGCCUGUUCGAGCGUCAUUUCAACCCUCAAGCACAGCUUGGUGUUGGGACUCGCGUUAAUUCGCGUUCCCCAAAUUGAUUGGCGGUCACGUCGAGCUUCCAUAGCGUAGUAGUAAAACCCUCGUUACUGGUAAUCGUCGCGGCCACGCCGUUUAACCCCAACUUCUGAAUGUUGACCUCGGAUCAGGUAGGAAUACCCGCUGAACUUAAGCAUAUCAAUAAGCGGAGGA
rnacentral:misc_RNA from 1 species